CACGUAGGGGGCAAGCGUUAUCCGGAUUUACUGGGUGUAAAGGGAGCGUAGGUGGUUCGGUAAGUCAGAUGUGAAAGCCCGGGGCUCAACCCCGGGACUGCAUUUGAAACUAUCGAACUAGAGUGCAGGAGAGGUAAGUGGAAUUCCUAGUGUAGCGGUGAAAUGCGUAGAUAUUAGGAGGACCACCAGUGGCGAAGGCGGCUUACUGGACUGUAACUGACACUGAGGCUAGAAAGCGUGGGGAGCAAACAGG
rnacentral:rRNA from 1 species